rnacentral:rRNA from 1 species
AGUGAACGCUGGCGGUAGGCCUAACACAUGCAAGUCGAACGGCCUCACAGUAAGAGCUUGCUCUUACGGGUGGCGAGUGGCGGACGGGUGAGGAAUACAUCGGAAUCUACUUUUUCUUGGGGGAUAACGUCGGGAAACUUACGCUAAUACCGCAUACUACCUUCGGGUGAAAGCAGGGGAUCUUCGGACCUUGCGCGAUUGAUUGAGCCGAUGCCGAAUUAGCUAGUUGGCGGGGUAAAGGCACACCAAGGCGACGAUCCGUAGCCGGUCUGAGAGGAUGAUCAGCCACACUGGAAGUGAGACACGGUCCAGACUCCUACGGGAGGCAGCAGUGGGGAAUAUUGGCCAAUGGGCGCAAGCCUGAUCCAGCCAUACCGCGUGGGUGAAGAAGGCGUUCGGGUUGUAAAGCCCUUUUGUUGGGACAGAAAAGCAGCAGGUUAAUACCCCGCUGUUCUGACGGUACCCAAAGAAUAAGCACCGGCUAACUUCGUG